UACGGGGGGAGCAAGCGUUGUUCGGAUUUACUGGGCGUAAAGGGCGCGUAGGCGGCCACCGCAAGUCGACUGUGAAAUCUCCGGGCUUAACCCGGAACGGUCAGCCGAUACUGCGGGGCUAGAGUGCAGAAGGGGCAACUGGAAUUCUCGGUGUAGCGGUGAAAUGCGUAGAUAUCGGGAGGAACACCAGUGGCGAAGGCGGCUACCUGGCCCAUUCUUGACGCUGAGGCGCGAAAGCGUGGGGAGCAAACAGG
rnacentral:rRNA from 1 species